CUGAAAUCAAGAUUUGAACACCCAAUCAACUGAGCCGUUUGUGAUAUGGCUGUGAACCAGUUUCAGACAGGAAGAAAGAAGAUGAGUGAAAGGCAAACACAGCGUGGAAUUGCUUAAUAACAAAGGAUGAGUUUGGCAGAUGGUAGACUCCAUUCGCUGCUUGAAAGGUGGGGGAGGAUAAAGUGGACUUUGCUUUGCAGAAAAGAGAAAAUCGCUCUUUUCCACCUUGCUAGAUGCCUGCAGGUAUAUCAUACUAGAAUUUAAUUGAAGUACACCAGUUGGAGUUGAAAUAGAAUGGGGUGAAUAAAGAUAAACAUUAAUUAUUACUUCCUUACAUUUGGUAACAAAGGUAAGACUUGACUUUAUUAAAUACUGUAGUCAAGGAUGUAGAGAAGUGUGAAAGAGAGCCGGUUUUGAACUCCUACUGAAGGAUGUACAUGUUUGUAUAUGUUCAUGGUUUGAGUGUGUAUAAAAAUAGGAAUAUUUUGAACUGUGUAUGUGAUCCUUUGCUUUGAUUAGAGAGAAAAAACUUAUCAAGAGAAUAGAAGCUGGGAUAGUUCAUUGACGUUGAAUCUUUCUUUUCAUUGUAAAUUUAUAAACACAGGC
rnacentral:lncRNA from 1 species